rnacentral:rRNA from 1 species
CUACGGGUUGCUGCAGUGGGGAAUAUUGGACAAUGGGGGAAACCCUGAUCCAGCAAUGCCGCGUGUGUGAAGAAGGCCUGCGGGUUGUAAAGCACUUUCGGUUGGGAGGACUGCUUCUAGCACUAAUAUUGUUGGGAGUUGACGUUACCUUCAGAAGAAGCACCGGCUAACUCCGUGCCAGCAGCCGCGGAGUAAUACGGAGGGUGCAGGCGUUAAUCGGAAUUACUGGGCGUAAAGCGCGCGUAGGCGGCUAGAUCAGUCGGGUGUGAAAGCCCCGGGCUUAACCUGGGAACUGCAUCCGAUACUGUCUAGCUUGAGUACAGGAGAGGAGAGUGGAAUUCCACAGGUAGCGGUGAAAUGCGUAGAUAUGUGGAGGAACACCAAUGGCGAAGGCAGCUCUCUGGCCUGAUACUGACGCUGAGGUGCGAAAGCGUGGGGAGCAAACAGGAUUAGAUACCCCAGUAGUC